rnacentral:lncRNA from 1 species
UCAGCAGUCCAACCCUGUCGCCCCAGGCCGUCCAGCGACCUGUCGGGCUAUGGUAUUCCGUUGCAAGUUGGCAAGCAACAUUAGCGACCGUACUCUCCAACCGCCCCAUGUUCGUGUUUCCUCUCUCUCACCCAUACUUGCAGCAUGUAUGCCAUGGAUUUUGUGAAUGGAAGAAAUUCCUCUGUAAUUCUCUCGAUUCCAAUAAUUAUUUUAGAUUGCGAUAGGCGUGCAUUUGAAUUUUAGUAAGCACAUGUGCUCUGCUGCCCAUAACCUCUUUGUUGUUAUGUUUCUAAGAAUUGGACAAUUUUUUUAGUUUUAAUUUCACAAUAACUAGUCCUAGCUAAGUGUAUAUUGAUGCAUCCAGAGGUACUUGCAAAUCAGGAUUUUAACUCCUUUGAUAAUGAUGCUGAAAUUAGGAUUGAGCAUGAACACUAAAAUGGCAGAGGAUUCACUAUUGGCACUACAAUUUAUUUCCCUUAAUCUUUUACUGAACUUUGAGUAAAUAUUUCUAGCUUUUCCUUAAAAAAGUUCAUGCAAAAUAACUGAGUUGUGUUAGAGCUGGCUUUGAAAUAUAGUAUGAUCUGAAAAAUGGGAAGGUGCAUGGAAAAUAUAAGUUCACCUUAAAAAAAGCUCAGUGGUUCAAAAUGUGAAAGAAAAAUGAAAAAAGUUCAUUGGCUUUUGUGUUGUGUGACUUUAGAGUUCAAAGUACAUAAGAACAUAGGUCCACUCUGCGAAAACAACAUUACACACAUAAGAAUAUAAAUCCUGCCAAAAAGUUCAUUUACGAGCAUCUUCUGCUCAUCCAUGAGCGGGGCUCCUCCUUGCGGCUAUUGCUCAUCCAUGAGCGGGGUUCCCGAGGAUCCCAUUGGCGGUGGUCCCUCGAUGGUGGCUCUCGACAUUGUUUCCUUAACGGUGCUACAAUUCUAAAUUAUUAUUGAGUCGUACUAGUACUGAUGAAAUGGGAAGCAAGGUUGAAUGGGAAGCAAGUGCCACAUGGAACCUCAAUUGAAAUGAGAUGUAAGGUUCCACCUCUAGCCUACCCAAAACAACCAUGUCAUCAGUUCAAAAGUCCUGGGGUGUACCUAUAGAAUUCUGAAGAUGUGACUACAAAAUUGUUUUCUUGUGCUACUAAUCUACUAUAUCAUUAGUUCAAAGUGUACUGAAGAUACAACCCUAGGUGUGUUGUGGUGCGUGCUUAAUUGGUUACUGAUCUGUGUAGGGUACGGCCGGCGACAACGAGUAGGUGGCAAGUGUACCACAUCGAGCAACGAGACAGAGGUAUGAAGCAGAUGUGCGUGGUGUGCUGUCAUUUCAUAAGUUCAAGUGUUUGUCCCCUAUAAAGUUCAGAGAAAAAAAAUAUUAUGUUGCUUAUUGCUCAGUUCAUGUGUAAGCACUGGAGGAGUUCAAAAAACCAGAACUCAUGCGAUUUCAUAAAAAUAUGGUGUUUCUUCCAUACCAUCGGAAUGAGAGAAAAACAUUAAUUCAAUUUUUCCAUACCAUCGCUUUUAUUGCUAAAUGAUUUAGACACGUCUUUUCUUGAUGCCAUCAUGUAUUUGCUUAAGUACUUCAGCUCAAAAAAAAGCUCCAGAAAAGUUCAGAGUUUGUUUUCAGAAAAGCUCCGUGGUGUUUCUUCGGCUACAGCAUCCAUGCAUCCAAGUUGAGCUCUGACCGCAGUCCAAGUGGAACUGCGACCACCAACUUCACCCAGCACUGCACCCAUUGACCACCCACACAGUGAGAACGACAUCUCAUUUUUCUUUGAACAUUUUCUUAGCUGCAAGUACUAGUUCAGAGUUUGCUUUUUCACCGUGUUUGCACUUCAUUAUAGUUAACCAUUGGUCCAUUUCUCAGUGGCAAGUAAAGAAUGGUCUUGCACUUCAUAAUAAUGCCCUCCUCCUCUGUUUCUCUUCCUAUCUAAAUCUCCUUUCUGUCACUAAUUUAUUUUCUCUCUGAAUGCAGCACGAGGGAGGCUGGAGCGACUGCAUACUGGUGACGAGAACCACUUUAGUUCUGUUGUUCGUGUAUUGGAAGUACGUAUCCUCUAUCCAAGCAGGAGGUAGAGGUAAUUUCUCCCCUGAUGCAACCUAUUUUGAAAGUAGUCUGAGACCAUCAUGUCCUAUAUACAGAUUCAUAGUAUAACACAUCACAUGGAUGUUUGUUCUGAAAAUUGAAAUUGUUUUGGUGUACUAAUAGAUUAGUUGUUAAGUAUUGGAGUGUUUCCUUCUUGUUUUGGACAAAUGGAAGUCUACAAGACAAAUGUAUUCUUAGAUUCAGAGCGAACCAGUACACCAAACAGAAAAAAGCAAAAGAAAAAAACUCACUCCAGGCCACUCCACCAAAUCCGAAGUGGGUCAAUCCCCGACACAAUGCCCGCCGCCACCCUCGGGCCAACCUUCCACCACCUCCACCGUCGCCCCACUCCACCUCCCGGCCACACGCCCAUCGCCGUGCUCCUCCUUGCUGUUCUAAUUCUUGUUUUGGUUAUGUCCAAAGAAACUCAUAAUUUUGAUAAAUGAUGAAUUGUGUUUUCUCGUAGAAAAAUGAUGCUCUGUAGGUGGUAUAGCAGUUCGCCAUGUUUAUCUACCAUCAAUCUGUAAAAGGACAAGUAUGUACUGACGCUAGAAAUGAUGCUCUGUACAAUUUCUUCUAAUCUAGUUCGAAUUUGGUCUACUUGAGUAUUCUAUCAGUUCAUGACAAGUAUGUACUGAUGCUAGAAAUGUAGGUCAUUUGUGAAUCAUGCUUUUUUCAGAGAGAAAAGGAGUUUGUAGUUACAUCACAUGGUGUACUGAGCAACAUAAACAUGGUUUCCUUCAUAAAUUAGUUGUUUUUGGUUAAUUCGUUUACAUGGACAGUACAAACGCACAUUGUUGUGUAGUACAUGUGUGUAUUGUGAUUGUAAUUUUGGUUUUUAGUUAAGAAACAAAUAACAAAAAGGUUCAUAAAAGAACCCAAAACAUUCGAUAGUCCUGGAAGUCCAAAUUUCAGUUCAACAUGUUUUCUAUCAUUAGCUCAUUAAGAACCCCAGAAACUUAUCUGGUGGUGUGUGUGUGUGCUGCUGCAUCCUUCUCCGGCCGCUCUAAUCCACUCUCAGUACAACUUCUCUGCGACCUCAUGUUCACAAAUCUUGUAGUACAUUUUUUAAAUAAAAAUCUUGUAGUACUAUGUAAAGCAAGCGUGGCCAACACAUACUUUAGGUGUCGCGGUAGUACGCACUGUUGAUGGUGGCCUUCCUUUGUGGCGCUACUACUUUGCCACCUAGAGCAGUACUGCUACUACUUAUCAUGUUGCUACAACCUAGCGAACAGUACAUGUAUUUGAUUUACGGUUCUGUAGGAAGAAAAGUUCACCAAUAUAAAAUCUCUAGGUUUAGUAAAGCAAUCUUUUUGCUUAGUAGCUGAUACUGCUCAAGUUUCUUUCUUGUUGUACAUAUGAUGUCCAAUUUCUUCUUUCAGUUUGGUUCAAUUUAUAAAUUUCAUUCAGUUCAAUUCUUAUUGUAGUUGGAUUUCAGUUUCUUAUUUGAGUUCAAUUCAGGCAUGUGAUUGAACUUGCAACCUCAUAAGAUACGAUCUCAAAUAGAAGUGUACUAAAUGCAGUUACUAGGUGGCGGCAUUGCUUCACUUCUCUUGUUACGUUCUCUUCGCCCAAAUUCAGAGGAUCAGGAAAAUAAAAUAUCAUUGUUUUGACGUGCACUACUCAAAAGAAGUCGUUUCUGUUGAAAAAUUGUUUCGCUUGACAUGUACUUGCCAACAAUUAUGUAUAAUAAAUCGUGGCAUUGUAUGUAGAAAAAGAUAUAUUGUGUUUUCUGCUGUUGUAUUGAGUUGCUAUCUAUUGCUAAUGGUACGAUGUUGCUAUUGCCCUGUGUCAUGUUAUGCAAGUUGACACUGAGUACACGUUGUAUGAUAUACUUAUAUAGUAAAUAGCUAAAAACUGAUUUCUUCCAGUUUUUAUUUUUCGCCCUUGCCUAUUUGAUGUUAUGCCUACAUGAGCUGAAGCGUUUUAAAAAUGUUGGCAGGAAAGUGUGUGUAUUUGGCAGAAUAAAUGUUGGUAAGUUCAUGGCAAAAAAUCCAUAAGUUCACGGAUAAAUAAUUUCAUGGUUACGAAAACCCUUUUAGAAAAAUUAGAAAAUAAAGAAAUGAGAUACAUUACAGAAGAAUUGGUUUGGGUACAAUGAAUCCAGAAAGUUCAAAGUUAAGAAAGCGAAAAGUUCGGACCCAUGAAAAAGAGAGGUCCGGAAUAGAAGAGAACAUUAUGAAACAUAAAAAAUAUCAACAAGAAAAAGUUCAAGUUGCAAAAAGAGACAAGUCCAGAACACGCUCAGUACAAAACCAUACAUACAUCCAUUUAAGUACUCUUUUUCUCGAACAUAUAUUCGUCCGUUCUAGAAAGAAAAAUGGUUGAAAUAAAAAUAUUGAUCAGUACAAGUUAAAAAUGGUGGUCCGUUCGGAAUAAAAGAAAUGACAGAAAUUCAAGUUGUAAAAGUUCAAGCAAAAAGAAACCCCAUGCAAUUCAAAUGAGAAAAGUACAAGUCAUAAAAUGAGAGAAGUCUAAAAUAUCAUUGUAAAAAAAGUUUAGUUCAAACAAAAAUAAAAAAAACAUUUUCUUUUUGAAAAAAGUAUCAAUCAGUUCGAUGAUAUAAACCAUGCAAGUAUAGGGGCGACGAUACAAUAAACCAUUGAAAACUUACGAGCGAAACAGAGCAAAGUCUAGUUCAUGAAAACACGCUAAAUACAAACCCAUGCAAACAUCAGUACAAGUACCCUUUUUCGGAACCAUUCAAAAUUACUCUAAAAAAUAGCUCAGUACAAACAUACACAUAUAUCCGUACGACUACUCUGUUUUUCAGACGAGAAAACAACAGGAUCCGUCAUGUCGUUUUCCAAAUUACUCUUAAACGGUUGCGAAGUAGAGAAAACGUUCAACAUGACUAAGUUUCGCAUUUUCGAUAGCUAUCCAACGGUAUAUUAUUUGCCCCAUUUUGAUAAACAUGUUUAAAAAAAACCGCGUUCAAAACCAAUUUUAACCGUAUUUGAAUUCGUAUUUAAACCAUAAGAAAUUAGAAAAAACUUUCUAUACGCUAAAGUUGCGCAUUUUCCAUAGCUUUCCAACGGCGUAUCAUUUGCGUCAAUCCGAGAAAUCGUUUGCAAAAAACAGUGAAAAAACAUUUCGCCUAGAAUUUCACCGUUUUCCAAAUUACUUUUAAAUCAUAUAGAAUUCGAAAAGUAGUAGAUAUAUGGAAGAUGCGGAUUUUCACAAGCUUUUCAACGCCAUAUCAUUUGCUCAAUUCCGACAAACUGUUUGAAAAUUAAGUCCAAAAUACGAUUCACGUUUUCGGUUUUAAAAAAACGGUGUUUUUCAAAACUGCUCUUAAAUCAUAAUUUCUUUGCAAAAAAAUUACAAGAUUGUAAUGUGUAUGUCAAGAGAUUUCCAACUAUAUAUUUCACGCCCCGUUUCGACAAAAAAAUUUGCAAAAAAAUUUGAAUUUAAGAAGACGAUUUUUAAAGACAAUAGAAAGCAUCAGUUCAACCGCUCGAUUUUCAUCAGUUCAACCGCUUGAUUUCAUCAGUUCAAAUAGGGUAACAGAAUAAUAUUCUGUUACGCGUAACAAAAUAGCCCAGAUGUGUGUGUGUGUGUGUGUCUAUAUAUAUAUACGGUCUAUUCUGCUAAUAUUAGUAGAAUAAAUAUUCUGCACACCACUUCGGCACUGCACGCUCAACAGAAGCGCACUGCAUUAUUUUGACGACGAGCACUACAAUAGAGACUAGUGAACUUCUAGUCGGAAAAAACUGCAGGCGUUAUUUUUUUGGUACUGUUUUCGCUCUAAUUUUUUAACUGCUUAUCUGAAUGAGGCGUGUAAUAUAUCGUUGAAAAGCUAUGGAUUAGGCGCAACUUCGACAUGUUGAACACUUUUCGAGAUUCCACACGGUUUAAGAGAGUUUUGAAAAUAGUGCGGCGGAUGACGAGUGGCAGCGAGCGUUUUUUCACGUUUUUUCUAAACCGCUUGUCGGAACAAAGAAAAUGAUACGCCUUGGAUAGAUAUCUUUGACGCGCAUCUUUUUCAUAUAUAAAUCUUUCUCUAAUUCAUUACGGUUUAAGAGCAGUUUCAAAUUUACUAAAUCGCGGAACUCUGUUUUUCAAAAUUUUUGAAAUUUUUGGUACUGUUUUUGCUCUAGUUUUCUAACCGUUUGUCGAAACGAGACAUAUGAUACGCCGUUGGAAAGAUACGGACAAGGUGUAACUUUCAUAUGUUGAAAUGGUUUUGAGAUUCCUUACAAUUUUUAGUUAAUUUUGAAAAUCGUGCGGCUGACUUCGAGAGGCAGCGGCUGUUUUUUCGCGAAAUUUUUAUGAACGGCUGGUCGGAAUAAUUCAAAUCAUACGCCGUUGGAAAGAUACCGACGAGACGCAACUUUUUCAUGUAGAACACUCUCUCUAAUUCAUUACGGUUUAAGAGCAGUUUUCAAAUUACCAAAAUGCGGACACUUUGUUUUUCGCGACACCCAAAUCGACGUGGGUACUUCAUUCGACUGAAAACAGCACUGCAACGGACGAAAAACUGCACUGCAUCACACGGGUAAGAGAACUGCAUGAUUUCUUUUAUUCAAACGUAAUUUUUCAAGAACGAGAAAGUAGAGUGCACUUCACAUCGGGUGUAAGUGAACCACAACACUAUCAAGAAGUGAACCGCAUUACUUUUUUCGCUUUCGUAACAAUUUUUUUUCGCACUUACGGGAUGAACAACAUCACAUAGCCGACCGCACUACUUAAGACUGAAAACCGCACUGCAUCAUACGGGCAAGUGAACCCCGUAAAUUUUCUUUUUUUUCUAAUUUUUUACGCUUAUUUGUGAACCUCAUGGUUAAAGUUAGUGAACCGCGUGGCCCAGACUAGAGAACUACAUUUUUUCGAUUGGUGAAAGUGAUUUAUUCGAUUGGUGAAAGUGAAUCGCUAGGAAGAAACUAGUGGACUUCAUCUAAAAAAAUGAACUUCUUCUGUGUUGAUUUCUUAUUGUUUUUACAAAGGGAAUAUGUUUACAAAGGGAACCACAAGAGUGCACUGCAAACAUACAUACACCGCAUUGCAAGCACACAGAAAACAAGUGAAACAACCACACGCGACAACACAAAUUGCCUUCUAAAAAACCACAAGACCGAUGGGGUGUACUGCACACAUACACACACCGCAUUGCAGGUAUAUACAGAAGAAACUGCAUGCACAUGAUGCUUCCUUUUUUCUCGCAUAUACAAAAGUGAACCAACGUAUAGUACAAGUGAUCCACAUCCAAAAAGAAAGAAUACCACUCGUGGUUUUAUUAACAGAAGUGAAGCACCAAAUUCUUGUCACAAACAAGAGCGAAACAGCAACCUUUCCCAGUUUCCUUUUUGGACUAAAACACACUGAAGGACAAUAUGAGCUGCAUUGCACGCCAAAGCCUUCGGACCCGCGAGACGCCAUGGGUGCUCGGCCACUGCAAGAAACACGGGCACACAUCACGAACAUACAUGCCCGCACUGCAAGACCAUGCCAAUGCACUGCACCUAACGUGCCUGCCAAACCACUUGCUCAAGGGAGUGAACUGCACGUCGCACCGCCGGAAAGCUUCGAACGUGCCUACAAAACCGCUCAUCCCUUGCGUGGCUCCCUGGCUUUUUGUAGGUAGUACUCCAUGGUGAAGGAAGUGAAACAGUGGGGGAGCAGUGCAAGGCACACAUCAUCCGGUAAACUGCACAAAGGAAUCGAACAACAUUAGAAAAUUCACUACACUGAAGUCAUUAGAUCAACAGCAAAAAUAUGGAAAACACAAAAAAAUAGUGAACUCCAAGCCGCGGUGAGCUACUGCUCGUCCUGGAUCUCAUUUACGUUAGAGGGAUGAAGGUGUCAGGGGCGGCGGCCUUGUUGAAAGUCAGAAUCCAAAAAAAUUUGCACGUCGUGGCUCUUUGCACUGCAGCUAGCCCACACCGAACCACGAGCAGAUGUCGAGAAAACUGAGUUGUCUUGUCGAAGGAGGAGGCCAAGCUGGUGCAGGUGGAGCUGCCCAGGUGAGUCAGGGGACCACGUCAGUGAACUGCACAUCGUCCGGGCCAACCGCGGCGCUUGGAAGGUGGUCGCUGGGCAGAUCCCCUACUGUCCAUUGUAGAGGAGCCCACAAGAUGGAUCUUGGCGAAAGGAGGAGCACCACCUCAGCCCGUGUUGUGCGGACGAUGAGCACGGCGGCGACCAGAGGGAGAGGAGACAGAGGUCUUGCUCUCCCCUGAGUGGGACGAGCCCCACGCGCCCGCAUCUUCUCCCUGCCAUGAGCACGCUCCUCCACCGCUGCUCAUCGCUGCCAAGCGGCGUGGGUGAGGGGGAAGGAGAGAUGGACGCAACCUGAGCUGCACGGGGGCCACAACCGAGCUGCCCGGAGGGGGGUGGCGCUCGAGUACCACUGAUGGUGCAGGGGAGGAAGAUGGGAACAAGGCGAUGUCUCCGGUCGUGGUAGGACAGGGCGAGGCGGCGAAAAUUGUCCGGGCAGCGAGCAGGGUGGCGGACCUUGCUGCCGGCGUCUGGAUCUGACGCGAGAACCACAGAGAUGGACGGAUUCAGUGUGGUGGCGCCCCCAUGGCCGGGCGGCGGGGUGGGAGGUGGUUGUCCCGGCGGUGGCUAGUGGCCACGCUGUCGUGUCCCACAGGCAGCUCAGUGGAAGGUGGUUGUUGGCGGCGCGUUGGGAGGCGGUGGCCCGGCGGCGCAUCGGGAGGUGGUGGUCGGCCGGGCGCCUGUGGAUAUUGGGUAGCCGGGUAAAUCCUGGGGAGGACGAGGUGGGGAUGGGGAUUUGGAUGGGAUCGAUGGGUGGGUGCUAGUUGGGGCGGGACAGAGGUGUUUUUUUUGACGGGGCGGGACAGAGGUGUUAGCAGAAUAAGCGAUUCAGUGUGCAGAAUAAGGUCUUAAGGGGUGUUAUUAGAAUAGACCCACCCUAUAUAUAUAUAUAUAGAUGAGUUAGGAUGGCUUCUGCACAGCAUCUCCAUCAUCAUUAUCAGUACAUCCUACGCAGGUGAGUUAGGAUGCACUUGAUCCCAGAAAGGUAUAUAUCCUUCAAACCAGAGGAGUGCUUCAAACUAACAACAUUACAUAAUAUCCAACAAAAGAGGGUCGUGCUACAGCAGGAGAAUACAUGGCUCACUCUAGAUAUCAGUACGAAUCAAGUUGUGCAUAUUUGCUGUUGGCAUGAACCACAUCACCGCAUGUCGGGUUUGCAAAAGCCAUCCAUCGCAUGGAAGCUUUAUGCCUUUCACAUACUGAAGAUUAUCUGGCAACAAGCAGUGUCGUUGAAUCUCUGGAUAUGGUGAUUCAUGAAACCCAUGGUAUGAUGUGUAAACACAGUCCCCCCUGGCGAAUGGAAGUUGCAUAGCACGGUUAUCAUCACCAGUGAUAUGAUCGAUGAUUGGUUGGAUGAUCGGAUAAUUGAGCCCUAGGAACAUGGAGUGGUUGCUGAGGCUGUAAACCCGCCUCCAGUUGAAUACUCCUGGCCCAACGGAGGUGAGAUCUUUCUCGAACAUGAAGCAGCACGAACGCCCCAUGCAUUGUACUACAUGUGGUUUGAUGUAAUGGUUUGAUCAAUUUGGUACGUGCGAAUGAGCAUCAAAUGACCGCCAUCAACUGAACGAGCGAUAAACCACCACCCAUCGGCUGGUAUGAUUCCAGGUCAUGGAAUCAUGAAGGCCAGCGCAUUUGCGUCUGCUGCAACAAUUCAAAUUGGAGACCAAAAGGACAAAAAUAAACAAUCAUGUUCAGAGUAUGUGUGGAAUUAAGAUUAUUAUCACAGUGACACAUAUCAUACACAGAGAAUUGCAAUGCAGUGGUCAUAAUCAUACCCCAAGUUAAAACAAUAAGCCAAUGGCUUUCAUAUUCUAGCAAUGUGUCAUGGUUCAAACAUCAUGUAGCAAUGAGAGGAAAACAGCUAUGAUAGAGCCUACUCAUAAUCUACCAUAACACUUACUACUAUUGUUCUCAUAUCAACUCUAAGCAAUAACAUGCGUUGUUAUAAAAAUCUUGGAAAUGAGAGUAACAUAUAGCAAUCAUGAGGUUAUGCUCAUAAUAUCUAUUCUAACAAUCAUUAGAUGCCAAUUGUUCUCAUAUCAACUCUAACAAUAACAUAUAACAAUGAUGUGGUUAUAGACAUACUAUCUAUUCUAAAUUUGUAACAAUGAACAGGCAGUCGUAUUCAUAAGGUAAAGAUGAAAUGAGAUAGAACAAUUACACGGCGAUAGGUUCCACCAGUAUAGGCAGCCAAUCUGUGCGUCGACUGCGUAAAUGAUGCCAUCAUGCACUAUAGCAUCAGACAGAAAUGUUGCCUCAACAGGAUUGACGAUGAGCCAUAACCAUGUAUGGCGACCAGAUUCCAGAUAGACCAAUCCCAUGUUGAACAAGGCAAUGAGCUUGUAAUCCACGUAGUCUUCUGAUGGUGUGGGCACUUCGCAGAUUACAACUUUCAGGAAACAGAGGUGAAGCCAAAAGCUUGACGCAUCUCGUGCAUAGUAGAUAGGAGUGUCUGGCGGGCCGCGAGUCUCAAUGGCGGUGGUAUCCAAUGAUGGAAGGGUGAUCUCUUGCUGGGUGCAGAUAUCCACGAGAUGCCACGGACUACCGGAUUUGGUGGAUGAGGACGAUCCAGUUGGCCUUCAUGCCCUCCCAGUAGUGGCCACGCAUGAAGGACAGGUGUGCGGGUAGUGGUAGCAUGUCGAGGGGCACCACGGCAACCUCCGUAGGAUCAUCAAGUCUGUGUCUGGGCCACCUGCGAGGAUCGGGCAUCAGCAAGCAGGGUGUCUUGAAAAGAGCCGGCCGGUUGUAGACGAGUAGACAGUACAAAGACAUCGAGCAUGCGGCCAGACGGACGGUGCUGAGUAGGUCCAUACGAUUAGAGAUCUGCUCCAGGACAACAUCGGGGAGGGAAUUCCAAUCACGUCUCUGCAUGUCAGUCGGUUCUGCCAUUGGGGUUUUCAGUGCCUGCGGGUCAGUGGGGAAGUGGAUUCGGGUGGACGAGUGAAGAAGCUUCUCCUCGUGUGGCCGAGCAGUGAGCGGGGGGAUAUGGUACGCGUGAUCUACCAAGGAAGAUGGUGCGGGCGGGUGAGCAGUGAGCGGGGGGAAAUGGUGUGCGGCUGACAAUGGGGAAGAGAGGAGGAAGAAGAGUGAAAGACGGGGAAGAAAGUGCAUUAAAUCUCAAUUCUACUAGUACUACUACCAGGAUAUACCGUCCUUCGGAGUGUAAAUAGUUACACCGAUGACAUGUGGGUCUACCUCAUGAGGGCCCAUAUGCCAGUUAAUGGAGGAGAGAGGUGCGUAGGCGUAUUUGCGGAAGCAUGCUGUACCGGCAAACAUGAUGGCAGUACUUGGUAAGGCUGAUUUAGUAACACCAACACGCUGGUUCAGCUUAUUAAUUAAGUGUCCCAUCUACUGCAGCGUGUAUUGUCACUUCACUGCGAAGACUAGUUGAAUAGUUCUCUCUGACCGAGAUGGGGAAUAAUAAUGGAUCACGAAGACUUCCUAUCUAUAGUAUCCCUAUGCCUCUACGCUCACUUGUUGAAAUCUCUAGAAAGACAAAUACUCCGUAUUUGGGAACAGAGGGAGGCUUUUACUCCGUAUUUGGGAAUUGAGGGAGUAUGGCCAUAUGGAGGGAACAGAGGAAUCUUGAAAAUGAACGUGCCAAUGGGAGGGAGUAAGACUCAUGCAUGCAUGCAUGCAUGCAUGCAUGCAACAUGAAACACUCACACGUACACAUGGACGCACGCAACACUCACACACCCAUGCGGCACAAAGCACACGAGGCAACACACACGCUCACGCUCAAGUGCUCAACCUACUCCCUACGUCCGUGAAAGACUGUACAUCUAGAGAUUUACACAUUGACCAGGGCAUAAUUAAUGCCCAAAAGUAGCAGACUUAUGUGUGCAUGCGACCAUUGAGAGAAGAAGAUUAAAUGAAGGUUGUUGCAUGCUAUAAUUAAGGAUAGACAUGUAGACUAUACCUAGAGCACAAGUUGGUGCAUUAGUCAAUCAAUAUCGAUUUAGAUUGAAGUCUAAAUGCAUUGGAAGUGUAGAUGUACUACACUCUUUGUUUUUUAGCCGAUGUACACUCUUUGUUGGAAGACCAAGGGAGUACAUGCGUGUGCACUCACAUACACAGCCAGGGUGGUUCGCGCGCAAGGAUUGGACUCCUGUCGCACCUGCGUAAAGUUUUGUUUAACUGAUUUCUUUGCUCUGCCAACUAACAAGUGGGACCCAGAAACUAGAUGACAAUUUAACCAGUCAACAAAGUGCCACGUCGACUAUGUGGCCGGUCAGUAGGGUGCAAUACGGUGCUCUACAUUGAUCUAGUGAUCGUAUAAUCACCACAAAACUAUAUAUAGUGACCGUAAAGAGCGUAUUGUUACAUACGUUGACCGCCAGUGUAUAUUUCUCAUUUCAAAUUAAGCCAUAUUAACCGGAAAGGAUGCACUAUGGACUAGUACUAGUACUACUUUGUUGUGUCCCGUCAACUUGCCGAACGAGGAGAAGCUUGCUUACUACGCCUCUCCCUCGCCCACGUGCGCGGUGGUUCACAGGACGAGGAGAGGGUUUUGACUACAGCGCCCUCUCCCUCUCCCUCUCCCUCGCCCUCGCCCUCGCCCUCGUCGUGGACAUGCAGCCGUUCAAUCGGUGUCAGAUUUCCAGAAGCAUAUUGUACUAUAGUAUCAUCAUUGUUGGACCUUCCGAAGAGGCAGAGAGACAAGUGCAAGGUUCACACGAGUACGAACAGUUGAAUCUCCCGAAGCAGCAAAGAGCCAAGCGCAAGGUUUUAUAGGAGUUGUCGUCCUAGUAGGAGUAUACUACAACUAUAGCGAAUGAUGCUACUAUAUGAUGCCGCCACGUCACCUAUAUCCAAAGUUGUGCCACCUUUUUUCUCAAAGAGCAUGUUGGACCCCUGCAACAACCACACAAGUUGCACAUACACAUAACACAUUUACUAGUAAUAAAUUCUAAAGGACAAAUGCCAGUAUGCCACACAAGUUCAUCUCCAAUUCAUGUGAUAAAUUUGUGCACGACUAGUUUACAUAUAUUCACUGCGCUACCAUUCACAAUUUACCGUACUCCACUUACACAUUAUAGAUGGGAUACAUGUCCUCCUCCAGGUUCCAGUCCCAGGUGUUCUUCAUGGAUGGCACGAUCCAUAGCGGUGGGCAACGGGAAUCAUUGUCGUAGCUUUCUAGUCCGGUUCCACAUGAUGGAGACUCAUCCAAGCUGAAGCGGCAUAAAUCAGGGAUAGCGUGUCCCAGCAUGUCGUUUAUCUAGCGGUGCGCACUGAAGACACAACCAUGCUUCAUGAACGGCAGGCCUUCCGUGUCGUGCACGGAAGGUGGCAUCCGCUUCACAAUGGGGUAGCUGUCCCCAAUGAAAAACAAGUACUCUCCAAGAGUGUUCCUCGGCACCCACAUAGCAUCACGGAGGUCGAACUCAGCGCUGUUCAUCUGGUACACGCGGCAUCUCAGAUCUGGACACAUGGUGACGUACAUAGUCAAGGUCCAUGCAUAAUAAUGUUGUGCUCAAAUAUGGCGGUCAGUAAUACUGUGCAGCAAAUAGUACUACUCCGGUAUAGAGGAAGUAAAAUAACCGGCUUAUUAUAUAUAGCAACUCUUGGCUACAUGGAUGAUAUAGUAAGACAUGGAAAAACAAAAAUGGUGGAAGCUAGUGGGUUCAAGUCUUCGAGGGCCUAGCUAGCUAUAUGUGUCCUCCAAGGUAAAAAGUACUCCUACUAGUACUAGUAAGUAGUACAACAAUGAAAGAGAAGGCAAGAGGGUUAAAAAAGGGAAUACCUGGGUAGAUGGUGACUAUCCGAUCGUGGUAGAUUGUGUGACCAUGUUGCACAUCAGUGGUACCAUGGGUAACGACUGGUAAGAUAGUUGAUCCCAACAUGCCAAAGUCAGCUACAAGGUUCCAGGUUAGACCGAAUUGCGGAUGCAAAUGCACAUCCAGGAUCAACGAUCUUAUUUUGAUCGGGGGAUGACUGGUCCCUGCAAAAUAAUGGAGUACCGUUAGGGAUGCAAAUGAUGGUUUGUGCAUUCCGUUUGUAAUCUCCUGCACCAUAGGAUGGCCACCAGAUGAAACAAGUCCCUUGGCUUGUCACCGCGAAGAUGCACCCUAGAUGGCGCACGGCGUCUUUGAACGUGCAGGAGUAGAAAUCUGCCGCUGCCAACAUGCGCCAGCCUUUGUCAUUACUACCUCUUGCAUUGAUGGGAAUCCUUGUGUCGAACACCGCGAUGAGAUAGUAAUCGUCGUAGCCGUGUCGCUUUGUCGGCAGGUCCGCAAUUGCUAUCUUCUUCAAUCUCGUGUAGGUAUCAUAAUAUGUAUUCAAGCCCAGCCAGUCCGGAAGGCCGAUCCCAAUGGUGGAGAAGGAGUCUAUGGGAACGGCCACACUGCUGUGGAUGUUGUGCAAAAUGAUGGUGGUAUCCGGCUGGAGGUAUGCAAACCAAUCUUUGUUGGCACCGACCCGGACCUAUAUAUAUAAGACGGUGGGCAGCAGAGAAAUUACGGGAUGGAAAUGGAAUAACUAAGUACUACAUGAUCAAACUCCAUUACUGACCUACUCAUCGGACAAAAUCCGACUACUUCUCAACGUUGGCAACUCUAGCGGAGUCAACGUGCAACCAUGGCCAGGGAGCGGUGGACUGUUCGAAGGAUUGUCCCAUAGAAGAACCUUCUCCUCGAGGACGCAUGGAAGACCAACAAGCAUGGCCUUUUCCCAAGCCUGUUUAAGCACCGUCUUGAAAAAGUUGGUGUAGGAAGCACCGAGUCUUGCGGCGGUGAGGACAUCGGAGCGGCGUGCGAUUUCUCCCAGAGGAUCGUCUUCCAAGGUCUCCCAGCCCCGACGUGGAGGAGAACCGCCUGGCAAAUCCAUGGGAGCAGCAACAAACUAACUUCUCUUCGAGGGGAGGGGAACUGGCGAGGAGGAGAUAAGAGCAUAGUAACCGCAGGGCCUCGUCCCUUCCAACUGUAGAUCAUUCCUUAGUGAAGGGGUGAGGCUAUUAUUUACUACUAGUACUAGCAUUAUGGGACGUUAUGGGAUUGCAUUAUACUGUAAAUAAUAGCACUAGUAAGAAAUUUUUGGCACUAGGUAGUAGUUUUUGGCGUGGAUUAAGAAAUUUUGGGUAUGUUUUUGCUAUUUUUUGUACACGCCAACUAGUAUCAGAAAAUGUCUUACAUUAUGGGACGGAGGAGUACGUACUCGUACUGUAGCAGUACUAGUACUACUUUCUCAACUAGUAGUGCGAUGUACUGUACUUCUAGUAUAGUGCACCAGUUUUGAACUCUUGAAUCUCAGGGCCAAGGAGCUACAGUUGGAAGUGGAGGGUACUACUGCUUUCUAGAACCAUCGCUGUACUAUCAAUGCAGGGAAAGUACACCUGUGUAGUGGCCUAGUGGGUACUCUCGUUGCUCUAUUCAGCCACUCCUCUCACAUAGCUGGCCUACUCGGCCGCUCCUCUCACGCACACACUAGCAGCUUGUUUAGCAGUGACGGUUACUAUGGGGGCAGAACAUUUGAGUUAUUUGAUACAACGAGACUAUGCUUUUCGCUUCCAUUUGUGCAGGUGUAAUGGAUCUCGUCGAACUUUGUUAGUAGUUCCUUCUUUAUGAAUGAGAUGAGGCAAAGCUUUUGCCUCCAUUUCAAAAAAAAUCGUCAAGAGGAAUUAGUUUUAUAGAGACGAUAAUGGAGUGAAGUCCAUGCGUGCAACGCCAGAAGCUACAGAGUAGUAGUAGAGCACUUUACGUACAGAGCCAUAUUGCACAGUUCCCAAUGCCCCGCCAGGCUUUUCCGGCUCCUCGGGCUUAAUUGGGAGGCGCUAGUUUAAAUAUACUACUAGCUAAUGAGGAAGCUGCAAGCGAGGUGCGGCUAGGGCGAGCAUGCGAGCCAUGAGAUGAUGGGAAGAAAAACCCGUUCACAUGGCUAGGCUAUCCAGUGCACCCAGAUUGUGGUGUCGCACGUCCGUUUGACUUCAAAACUCAAACUACACAUGUACAAUAUUGGCUCGCGGUGAAGUUACUAUAUAAAAAAAGGCCACAGUGCGUUCGGCCGGGAUCGAACCCACAAAACGAGGUAUGCACUCCCGCGACCACUAGUAGUACUCGUUGGAGUACAACGCAACCUAGAAUCGCCUUUUGUCGCUAGUAGUACAUUGUUCCUUACUAGAAACCACUAAUAAUGCCAAGAAACUACUACCACUUGCAUGCGUUGCACACUUAAGAUAAGACUACCUUAUCAAACAUUGUACAUGCCCUUACCAACUAGCCCUACCAGGAAACGGCUACUCUACAAAGUGUCGUUGCCCUCCACUAUGUAGGCCAAAAUCGAUGCCAAAUUCACUUUUUGAACAUUUGGCACCGGUGCGCUACAUAGCCCAGCCGACGCCAAAUAAAAAUUUCAGGGCAUCGAUUCCUCUACUUGCUCCGACGCCACAUUUUGUUGAGGCAAUAAACUAAGCAACCACUAUACUUUUGCAUGUGAGGCACCACCGGCGAGACACUGCUUUGAGCUGGUAUAUUACUAGUUUAUACGUAGGUGGGCCAGAGGUGGAUGGGUGCCAAAUUCUUCAUGUUGUGGUGCCGGUGCUAAACUUUUUACAUUUGGCAUCGAAGUGUAUGUGGCAAACCUUUUAAAUUUCUGGCACCAAACACAUAGUGGAGUGCCUUAUAGUCACGUUUCAACCCAUGUCGCCCAUUAAGUCAACGUCUUCUAUUCGACAAUAAUGUUAGGCCUUAUGACUUGUGGGACCUACAUGUCAGUCUGCACAAAAAUCCCCAAGUGACCUCCUACCUCCAGCCCGUCCACCUAAUCAUCCUCGGCCAUGGGACGCAGCUACCGUCGUCGACAGAAGGUGAGGUCAAAACCGCCGGUGGUGUGGAGCCCAUCUUGCGACGGCCCGGAUGCCAGCUCCGUCCGGUGCUCGCGGCCGCUAGCUACCCAGAUAGCUCCAUCCAGCUGCUUGUCUGCAAGGUUUGCUAGCUAGAUUGGCACGGCGGUGCGGCGGCUUGCUCACACGCAUCGUGCUAAGGCCAGCCAUCUGGCUCGAGCGAAGGCCAGCGCGGCGGCUUGCUCGCUCGUGAGUCACGCUCGGGCCAGCCUGCCAACCCGUGCGGAGGCCAGCGCGGCGUCCGGCCCGUCCGGCGGAGCGGCGGCUAACUCACUCAUCACCGGCACCACCGACGAACACGCAUUAGUACUGUUUUAAGUAAUGUUUAGGAAAAAUAAUGAUUUGUGGGGGAAUAACUAGAUAGAAGGUCAGAUGUGGGUCCCUCGUGUCAACGGUCAAACAAAAGGUGUUGGUUUAAGCUGCCUCAUCAGUACGGACAUGUGGGUCAACCUUGUCAUAAACGGGUUUAAACGAGCCUAAUCAACACUAGGUAGUAGUUUUUGGUGUGGAUUAAGAAAUUUUGGGUAUGUUUUUGCUAUUUUUUGUACAAUAGAUUCUUCCUAGGGCUCGUUGAAAGUGGUAGUUUUUUGUUAAAUACUCUACAUAUUGUAUGCAGGAGUGGAAGUUAAGCUUUGGAAGCCAAUAAGCAAUGCUAGUUACAUAGUGCAUAUGUGUACAUGAUUGAAAGUAAAUAUCAACCAUGAGUGACUAAUAUCUUGAUGGAAAACUCGAAACUAUGGAAAUACUAGGAUUUUUUUGCAUGGUUGGAAAUACUAGCAAUGUUCAUGUGCGUUGCAAUGGAUCAUAAUUAGAAUAAUACUUAUUCACAAACUUGAUACAAAAUCUAAUUUUGAUAUACAUAUAUUACUAGAGAAAUAUUAUGUUUUAGUUAAAAUAUAUUCCGUGGGCUGUUUUGGUGAGGUGAGGGAUGGAUGUGGUUGGUUAUAAGAUACUAAUUAUGGGUUUUUCUUUAAAUUGGUAGAGAAGUGGGAUGUUGGUGAGAAAAGGUAGCAACUUACCUCACAAUCGUUAGAUGUAGAUCUAAUGGUCAGAAACGACGGAUGGCAAACACACCAUCAUCACCAACUUAGUCUUCUAUAGGAGUACUAGCAAGAUCCGUGCAUUGCACAGAACAUCAAGAUGCAUUUUUUUAAAACACUUGUUGUGAUUGACCCAUGCGGGAGUAAUCCCAUGCGUAAACACUAAUGAUAUCUCAAGAAAUAGGAGAUAAGGUGAAGAGGAGUGGGGCGUGGUGGUGAUUGGUGGUCGAACUGAGCAGAGGCAUGGGGAUUGACGACAUCAGCAGCGGCCACCAGGCCAGUUUGUUCCGGAGGCUUCCUUUCUUAAUUGCUCAACAAUGAGGUUGUUGGAGAUAAGGAUGAAUGAGGGAAGGCCUUGUCUGCAAAUGUGGAGAGAGGUGCGGGUAUCUUUUUGUUUAAUUUCCAUCCGUCAGAUAUAGAUCAGACGAUCUAUAUUGCAAGAUGGCGCGCGAACCAUCAUCACCAACUCGGUUUUUUAUAAGAGAAGAAAUAUAAGCAUGGAGAUACUUGUUUCCGUAAACUAGCAUCUACAUUCUAUUCAACGCCUCAUCAUGUGGGGCCUUAGCACAAUGACUUCUCAAUUGUGUAAAACAGAGGUUUUCCCAUCGCCGAUGAGGAGGGGGUGACGGCGGCGCGCUUUUUGGCUUGCUCUAGUCCUAGUAGUCAUACUAGGUGGUCUACGCACUUGUAUAUUUAUUAUUUUUCACGUCUCGUGUUCGCCAUACUGCCACGACUGUUGAUGAAUAGACGGUAAGUUAUUCACGAGGAAACCCUUGUUGAGUGUGUUUGCGAGAGAGAGAGAGAGAGAGAGAGAGAGAGAGAGAGAGAGAGAGAGACGGUGUGCAUGUGUGAUAUGUCUAGAGACUGAGACAAUGAUAAGAGAUUCUUUGUGUCUAUGUGUGUGGAGGAUAGAGAGAGACAUGUACAUGGGGCUUUGUGUUGUGUAACGUGGAGACACAUAUACAUAAUCAGAGAGUGAGUGUGUGAGAUACACAUGCGGACAUGGGGAGAGAUGAGGAUCUAGAUAAAUGGGUGUUUGUGCGUGUUUGUGUGUGUUUGUGCGCGCGUUUGUGUGUCAGAGGGAGUUUGUGUAUGUGGAGUAGAGAGACCACUAAUGAUGUAAACCUAAUAUAAGGGAAGGGGGAAUGGUGUGACAUGUGUAGUAGCGGGAUAGCAUGGGUGCGGGCUGGGGGAGCAGACUGUUUGGAAGAGACAUCGAGUGUGUGUGGGAGAGGUGUGUGUGUGUGUGUGUGUGUGUGUGUGUGAGAGAGAGAGAGAGAAGGGGCGAGAGAGGGGUCGUUUGUGUCCAUAAAUGGCGUAUAGUUAGGGAGACAAUGUUGAUGUUGUUCGAAAUUGGCCUAUGUACGGAGACGCAAGGGAAGCGAGUCAUCGUGUGUGUGAUAGGGACUUCAUGAGAGAUGUAGAAUAGAUGGUGUAGAGAACAAUGUGCGAGAUUGAGAACGAUGAUACAUUAGGGAGCUAUGGAAGGAGUCACGACAUAUAUGUAUACAGGGAAGGAGCUGGGGCGGGUCCGCAUGUGGGAGAGAUAUAAAGAGGAGAGUGGUGCACAAGGAGACAAAGUGUGCUUGUUUGCAGUGGGGGUGGUGUGUGAGGUGAGUGUGCAAGAACCACAUAACUAGGGAGAUAGACGUUUGGGGGCGACGUUUUGUGUGUAUGGGAAAGAUACACUCUACAUAGUGCGUGUGCUUGGGAAAGAGAGAUGCCGGGAGACCUAGAGAGCGGGGGAAGAGAUGUGUGCAUGCCCGAGAGACAAAGUGAUAGAGACCUAUAUUGGGGUACGGACUUUAGAAGAGAGAGGGGUGUUAAUGUGCUCGUGUGUUGGUGUGUGGGGGAGAGAACGACUUCUGUGUGUGGGGGGGCGAUGGGUGGGGGGUUGGUUUCAGAUAAAGAGUGAGGUGUCUAUAUUUGAGGGACUUUAGCGUAAUUGAGAUAUAUAUGGUCAAUAGUGUGUGCACUCAUGGUUGAUCAAUUUGUUUCACAGUUUGGACUAUGAGAUAACGAUAGUUUUGAACAUGCAUGAUAUACCUUGAUGUACCAGAAUUACAAACCUAAGAUUGGAAUUUUGGAAUUCGAAUCCAUCAUUAACUUUUGUAAUUCACUUAAACGGAGGUACAUUUUUUAAGUUGGGAUUUCGUGAUUUCAAAUUCAUAUAUCAAACCUAGAGAUAUACACAUACGGGCAUGUUCAAACUUUAUAAUCAUCCAUUUUAUUCAUACACAUACACAUUUUUGCUUUUGUCAUCGUAUUUAGGAUGAACACAUUUGGAAUUUCAUUUGAAUUGGACCGUAUGAUGGUAUUUUCUUGUACUAGCUCAAUGAUCCAUAUUUGAAUUGAAUGGACAAUCUAAGUUUCGAGUUGGAGACAUUGAUUUUCGAAACAUGCACUUUUUUUGCGUGCAAAACAAACAAAUUCUCGGCCAUGAUAUCAUAGUCGGCCGUACAAUAGCAGAAUAUAAUUUCAGGCGCCGAAAGCUUUCAAACUUCCCGCUCACAUCGAAAUACUCGCGCCCGAAAGUUUAGCACUGCGAUAUUCUUGUUUUACCCUUGCCACAUGAACGGAAAAGGGCUGCUUUGGUAACUCCAUUGUUUUCCCCUCUUUGCCCCCAACAUUCUUCCCCAGAGCCCCUCCCCUUCCCCUCCCCACCCCCAACCACGGCAAGCAGCCGAAUCCAGUCCUCCACCGCAGUGCUGGACCUCACACCCUGCCGGAUCUACCUUCCGCACCUUGGAACCCCCAACUGUCAACUCACCACUUCAUCGGAGCCGCUUCAGCGACUGGCUUGUCCACCGCUCCAGAUCUCCUUGACCGCCAUCAUUGUCCACCACACCAGAUCUUCUUAACCGGCGCCCUCAUCCACCACAGUGUAGGCCCUUCACUGAGCCCCUCGUCCGCCCCACACCGGCCCUUCAUACAAGCCCUCGUCUGCCGCAACAGAUCCGCCUCACCAAAAGUACUGUACAACGCGUCCGCCGAAACCUUCGUCCAUUGCACCGGACCCACUCCACGGACACCAUAUUCAAAUCCAUCGGCCCUGCUUUAUCUAUGCCACAACCUCAUCAGGUUAUUUCGAUUUGUACUCCUUCAGGUUUUCUCUUUAUCGUGCAACUGUUCACUUACCACAGAUGAUAUUUCUUGUAUGUUGACAGGCGCCGCAACCGUAGCACUGGAGUCGCUUCAGCGACGGCGACAGCCGGCCCAAACUCAACCGCAACAUGAGCACCAUCGACGAUCCUUAGCUAUCAAGUAUGACAAUGAUACCCAUACGCCGCCGAGAAUCAGGUACUAUUAUCCAAUGGCCGGUGCCUACGUUCACUUUCUUAGCAUAAGCACCGCACCUUUGAAUUUCUUCAGGGCAUCAUUCAUUUUUUCAUGAGACGCGUUAUUCUGCUUGCACCUGUAGGGCCAUACUUCUGGCAGUGAACAUGUUACAUGUGCUAAAUUACAUACCAGUGCACAUAUAGUUAAUAUGCUUUAGUUUUAUCCUAAGUAUUACUAUACUUCCUAGAUAUCAGUGCCUACUAUUUUACUUCUUGCAUGCUAUAUUUAUGAUAAUGGUGUUGUUCUGAUGCCACCUGUUGGUUCCAUCAAACUGCUUCAUGUUCUCUAUGCUUAAUUACACAUCAGCAAACUAGCAUGUGGUUCCGCUGCUUUUUGUUCGUUUUACCCUACAUUUUCUGAUGCCACUACUAGGAAAAGGCCUACUAGUGGCGCACCAGUUUUGCCUACUAAUGGCGCACUACUGGUGCGCCACUAGUACCGUGCCACUAGUAUUUUUUACUAAUGGCGCACCUGUGGUGCGCCAUUAGUAUCUGGUAUACUAAUGGCGCACCACAGGUGAGCCAUUAGUAUAGCCCAAGGUGCCCCAUUAGUAUGCAUCCUAGGGGGCCAUAUUUACCCAGGUGCUUUGGCGUACUAAUGGUGCACCAUGGUGUGAUGCGCCAUUAGUAUCCUUUGGCAUACUAAUGGCGCACUAUAGGGUGAUGCGCCAUUAGUAUCCUUUGGCAUACUAAUGGCGCACUUUGUGGUGAUGCGCCAUUAGUAUGAAUAUUAGGUUUUUUCUUACUUUUCUGAUUUUUGCAUAGGUUACAAAAUGUAUUAUUGGACAGAAUAUAGACAGCACCACACAUCAAUAGCAGAUUCAUUGAAUACAAUAGAAGAUUAGUCUCCGAAUACAAUUCAUCAUAUUAGUCUUUGAAUUCAAAAGACCGAACAAAGACAGAACAUUACAAGUCUCGGGGACCGCGAGUAGCGAGUUUGUCUUCACAUUACAAGUCGAUAUCGAUCAUCUAAACUACCAUCACAUAGAAGAGAGCUGCGGUCAUCAUGAUGAGCAUCAUCGCGAUGAAACUGGUCUUCAUCCGGUUCCUCCAACGCUCCCCCCUCUCUCCGCGCUAGAUAGCUAUACAUCACUACUCCGAGCCUCUGUUCAUUAAUUCUUUGUCUGUUCUUGAUCUUCCCAAGUUACAUGACUAUUUUGAUGCUUCUAUUAAUUAUGGAGCUGCCAACCCCAUCAUGCAAAAUAUUUGUCCUUUUGGGGCUGGCACCUUGAACAAGCAUAAAAAUAGAGGGAAGCAGAUAUAUUGUCGUGUAUGCACACACCCUUCUUUCAUUAGUUUAGAUGAACCAUUGAUGAUCAAUUCGGACCAGUGCAUGCGACUAAAAUUAAUUUUACCUAAAUAGAGGGUGCAAAAUAAACUACAACAACUAGAUUUGCAACCAUGGGAUGCUGACGAUAUCUUCAAAGAACAUUGCAACAACAGCGAGGCUUCACAGCAACAUAUGAUAAGCCAGUGUGUUUUAGUACAUGUGAAAUGUAAUGCCAGUGGGCUACUUUCUUGGCUUCUGCCCUCAACCUGUAAUCCUACAGAAUUACAAAUAGUUCAGUUGUCUACUUUGUUGUAUUGCUUGAUUCGAAUGCUUGUUUGUUACUUGUUGCGCUAUACCUGAGUUGGCCAAUAUGUCAGCAGUGCCUAUUGUACUAUCAUAAAGAAUGCAUGCCUAGUUCAUUUGAGUCCUUAACUUCUCCUCUGAACUUCAUCACAAGACUAUCUUCAUAGUUUAUAUGAGGCCACACUGUUAAGUGCUUUCUCAGAUUAUUUCAACUUCUUAGAUGCCUUGGCAACUUAAAUAUAGCGGUGGUACACUCCCUUUCAACUUGGGAUGUCAACUGGGUCACGGUUAAUCCCGAUUAAAGUCCACUAGUGCUAUGAUAGUUCAAAAGAGUUUUUGUUUUUUGAGGAAAAUGAACUAAGGAGCUAGCAAAAACGAACUAGAUGGGACUGGCAGAUGUCGUUUAUUUGCCACUUACAUCCCUAGUUUCAUCUUACCAUUUUAAUUUCUUUUGGGCUGAUGCUGCUUUGAACCAUUUAAAUAUAGCUUGCCAUGCUCGGAAAUAAUUAGUAUGUCGUUUACCAUGUAAGCUUACUGCCUAGAUCAUGCGAUAACUAUCUCUUACUUGGAAACCUCUCAGGAUGCCGUUUACACUAGGACACAAUGUACAACCCCAUAAUCUAUUUGUGGAAGCAGUGUGCCAUCCAUGUUACCAGAUGAUAGCAGUUCAGAGGCAAGACAGUCGGAGAGCAGUCUGAGCACAUAUAUUAUAGUUCUUGAGGCUCUACUAGAGGCAAAAAGAGAUGGUGUGGCUGCCAUGAAUGAGGUGAUCUUUAUCUUGAGGCCGGAAAUUAUUCAAUUAGCGGCACGCAUUAUGCAAGCAACCCAAGAAUUGGAGGAAGUAAGAAUGUUGCAUUUGAAGAUGGAGGAGGUCCUGCUGUUUCCGCUAUCUGAAGCCCAGGGUAAUCCCGGUUCUUCUUUAGAUACAAGUUUAAAUUGUCAUUAGAUUAUUGUACUUGCAUGUUGUGUCAUGUCUCUGAAUGGAUUAUGUUGUAAGACCCCCUGUGUUGUCCAUGUGUUGUAAUGAUCCGAAUUUUUUAGGCGAGGUAAUCCUCAGUACUUGUAUGAUUAACAUAAGGUGAAUUGUUUUUCGUGUGAGCAUAUUGUAUUGGAUGGAAUAACUGUUUGACUCAAAGUGUAUCCAACCUACUAAACUCGAAGAUCACGACAUUUCUAAAUCAUAAUCAUAUAUAAUGGUGGAAUAAAUCUUUGUUGUGGUUUUGAAGAAAUAAUUAACAAAACGUAGAAUUAUCUGUGGAUAUCGUAAUCGAAUACAAAUUGGAUUUGAAUUUAGUUGCCAGGGCCUAGGGCAAACAUGAAUGCUAAUUCUCCCAAGUUUUGAACGAAGCGGCUAAACACCCACUAUAAUUUGUGGGGUGCCCGAAGCAAGUGUUUGCGAGAUGGAGAUGACUGUCUACCCUUGAUACUUGACAAGUGGACAUCCUUAUCGACCGGUGUUGGUGUCAAAAUCGGCGGAUCUCGGGUAGGGAGUCCCGAUCUGUGCGUCUAAGGCUAAUGGUAACAGGAGGCAAGGGACACGAUGUUUUACCCAGGUUCGGGCCCUCUCGAUGGAGGUAAAACCCUACUUCCUGCUUGAUUGAUCUUGAUGAUAUGAGUAUUACAAGAGUUGAUCUACCACGAGAUCGUAGAGACUAAACCCUAUGAGCUAGCCUAUGAUGAUUAUGAUUGUCCUUCCACGGACUAAACCCUCCGGUUUAUAUAGACACCGGAGGGGGCUAGGGUUUACACAAGGUCGGUUACAAAGAAGGAGAUCUAAUAUCCGGAUCGCCAAGCUUGUCUUCCACGCAAAGGAGUCCCAUCCGGACACGGGAUGAAGUCUUCAGUCUUGUAUCUUCAUGGUCCAACAGUCCGGCCAAAGUAUAUAGCCCGGCAGUCCGGAUACCCCCUAAUCCAGGACUCCCUCAGUAACCCCUGAACCAGGCUUCAAUGGCGAUGAGUCCGGCGCGUAGAUUGUCUUUGGCAUUGCAAGGCAGGUUCCAUCUCCGAACACUCCAAAGCAGAUUAAGGAUUGUGUCCAACUCUGUGAGAUAAUUUCCGCACACCACCGUAGAGAGCAUAACACUUCACAAAUCUGAUCUGUUGACAACAUUUUUUUAACGGUGUGCCCUUACGCCGUGGCCUGGUCUAGCACGGACCGGUUUUUCUCAGCCUGCCUCGAUACACGUUGCGAGGCGGUUUCAUUGGCACGCCUCGCCAAAACAGAGAUCGUGGUCCUCUUAUCGCGGGAUCUUCCAUCAAUACGGGCGCGAGCAACCCCAUGACGCCCGUUGGUAUCACUCCGUGUUUUUAGGUAAGUCCCAGGCGGUUACGCUAAGGAUGCUUGAUAUUCACCCCCUUUAUAGAGGGGCCGAGGCCUAUCCCUCUUUUCUACCAUGCUUGCGCCUUUUCGCAUCUCGAGUUCUAACAUCCGAAGCCCAAGCUCAAGCACUUCAGAUCUUCAAUCAUGUCCGGAUCCAACCUUCAAGGCCGGUGGAUGACCUCCUCAAUCAUAGAGGAGGACAUCGCAAAGCUUAGGGAGGUCAGAGAUCUGACCGCCGACAUCAAGCAGAGGCUUCCUGCUCAAGGGCAGGUCAUCCAUACUCCCGAGCCCAACGAGAGCGUCGUAUUUGUUUCUCACUUCCUCCGCAGCUUAGGCUUCACCCUUGAUCCCUUUGUGAGAGGGCUCAUGUUCUAUUACGGGCUAGAUUUUCAUGAUCUAGCUCCGGACGCCAUCCUUCACAUCUCGUCGUUCAUCGUUGUGUGCGAAGCCUUCCUCCAUAUCACCCCGCACUUCGGCUUGUGGCUCAAGACCUUUAAUGUGAAGCCGAAGAUGAUUGAGGGGCAACACGCGGAGUGCGGAGGUGCUGCAAUAAGCAGGAAUAGCGACGCCCCAUGGCCAGAGGGCUUCUACUCGGAGGUGUCCUAUCUAUGGCAGCGGAGGUGGUUUUACGUCACGGCUCCCAGAGGCACAAAGUGGGUGGCUGCCCCCGACUUCCGUUCGGGCCCUCCGCCUCAGUUGGCGUCAUGGGCCAAUGUAGGAUGGGAUUGGGGGCCUGCUAGUGAUGUACCAACAUUAUAGAGACGCAUCCGGGAGCAUCUUGAGAGGGACAUUAGCCUUGUCAGCGUAAUUCAGGUAAUGCUAGUCCGAUGGAUGUUGCCGUGCAAAUGCCGGCCUCUCUGGAUGUGGGAGUUCAAUCCGGAAGGUCCGUGGACUAUUCUGCACUUCUUCGGCUUGACGCUCGAAGGGAUGUCUAAGUUAUUCUUCGGACCACAAGUAAAGUGUUCGGACACCACCGAGGAUGCGGGCCUGAGCUGCAACCGACCAGAUACCCGAGUAAGUAACCCAAAAACCGAACACUUCGUUCAUAUUUAUCAUAACAUUAUUCUAAAAACCCUCCACGGCCAGGAAUGGCUCAGCAAGGCAGAGAGAAUCAGGUGUCCGGCACCACUUCCCGAAGGCUCACCUAGUCCCGCCAUAGCCAAGAUGCUUGGUCGUGUGCUAAGUCAAGUGCCCUCGGGGAAAGACGAAGGGAAGAACAGAGAAGCAGAACUUCACACAUUGCGCAUCCAAACCGGGGGAAUUGCUACCUCCAUGACGGAAGAUAGUCGAGGAGGGGAAUCUAAGGUCUCCUCCCCUCGCGGGAAGAAGAGGGCCGCCUCCGAAGACUUGGAGACGGAGGUGCCUAGACAAGGGAAGAAAACCUCACCAGGGGGCCCUGCCCUGAAGGGUGUCCUCACCGCGCCAUGCCCGCAAAUGGGCCAGCCCUCAGUGGAGCUCUAAGUUAAUCGUAAAUAUAAAGCUACUACUUCCUCCUCCGAGAACAAUAACCAGGAUCCAUUCUUUGCAGUCCGGCUAGCAGCUCUUCUCGACAGAGUUCGUCUUUGGGGGAUCUCCUUCCGGAGAUGAUGGAGAGUGAAACCCCACCAACCUCUACGCCUCAUGGGGCGGGCGACCCCGAGGUGUCGUCAUGGAGGAGUCCGGAUUUUCCGAGGCCAAAAGCUAGUACUUCGACCGCCCUGAGCCCGGAGCUAUAAGAAAGGUCCGGCACAGUUCGGCGACCGGCCGGACACGCUGAUGGGCCUUCUGGAGCGAGCUGCUCUCUCGGAGGAUCACCGUUCAUUAAUGAGCAUGGUGCUUGGGAAGAUUUCAUUUGCCACAAGAAGGCUGAAUGAAACUUUUACGAGCCUGCUCAGAGGCUUUGAGGGAUGUAAUGAAAUACGUAAUUUUUGGUUAUGGCACACGCGCUAGGUGUGCUCCAUAUGGAUAGUAGCCCCUGAGACACUGGUUGCCCGCCCUAGGUGGCAAACGGAGGAUCACAUUGUUGAGGAAUGAUCGCAUUGUAUUUAUGCGCAGGUGGCUAAGGAUCCGGUAGCCGACCGGUCCGUUGAAGUCGCUGAACUGAGGAGGUAGAUUGGAGUUGUGGAUGCCGAUAUCACACUUGUGAACGAGCGGCUUGACGAGUCACAAAGUAUGUGCUCUUCUUUCCUUAUUUUUUAUAGGAAAUAUUAAGCGGAGCAUAAUGUUAAUGUAGUAUGCUUGGGCUGUAGGCGGAGCUGCUGCCGUAGAGGCCCUGAGGGCGGAACUCGCCCUAGCCAAGGAACAAGCCCGGGCUAGCAAUGCGGCUGCCCUAAAGGUGGCCGAAGAGUUGAGAGCCAAACAGGCUUCUCAUCGCCGAAGCGAAGAAAAAAUAGCCGAGAUGGCUGUGGAGCUGAAAAACGCCGCCGACCAGUAUGAGCUCCUUGAAAAAGAGAGUCAGGCUAAUUCGGCUGACCUGAAGAAGGCCCUUGAUGCGGCCAAGGAGACGCGUUCCGAUAUUAGGGAUGCGCGGGAGGAGCUUCGACAGGCCAAAGAAAUCGCAGCUGGAAACCCCUAUUUAUUGCGGAUGAAGUUCUUAGAUCUGAAGUACGCUCCUCUGGAUCGACGCUGGAGCCCUGCAGACGCGUAUGUGGAUCUGGCGAAGAGUACGGCUGAUGCGGCCAAUUUUUUCGAGGAUCAAAAAGAUAAUGAAGUGGAAAAGCUGUUCUGGUCGCAAUUCAGUGCUCUAACGUGCCCGUUGCCAUUGAUUGAGAGGAUGGCUGCUGUGGCCGAGCUCCAUAGGUUGUUCGGUCUUGCAAUGAGGUCUGUAAUAGACCAUCUAUGGCCGAAGGGGCUGAAGCCGGACAGUUAUUUUGGUUUAGUGCAACAAUUCCUUGGUGCCGUAUCGCGAAUCGAUGCCAUGAAAAGGUCGGCGUGCAUAGAGGGUGCACGGAUGGCUCUUGCCCGUGUUAAAGCAUAUUGGACAGAUAUGGAGGCCACGAUCAUUGCGACCCAGAAUCCGGCGGGAAGCCAGGAUCCAGCCGAGCACUACUUGGAGCAGUUAACAGAAGGUGCUCGUUUAAUAGAGGCUCAGUGCUCGAAGAAUGUCAUGUUCGAGUGUCAAAUCAUUUCAUUGUAAAAACAAUUUAAUUUUAAUUAUGGAGGCUAUGUUUAUACUUUUCGCCCGAAAGUGUUAUUGUGCCUCCUGUGCGGCCGUUUGAUGUAUGUAUGUAAUCUGAAAGUUAGCAGUCGUUGGCUUCAGCGCCCAUGCAUACAAUGCGGGGGUGUUCGCGAGAACAUGCGUAAUCACACUUGAUACAACGUCUUGGUCCAUUAAGGAGGUGAUCGCAUGUCGAACUAGGCAACCGGACUAUAUAGCUUUUACACUUUCACUUAGCCAUAGGAGUUUGACGGUGGGGCUACUAUGUAGCCCCUGGUACUUUUGCGUGCAUCCGAAUACGAGCGCGUGUGUUCAUGACCGGGAAACGGUCCUUCGUUAAUGCGGAGGAAUCCUAAAGAUUCCGAUGAGUCCUCGAGUGGUUGACCAGUCUCUCGCUAUAUCAUGACAGUCAGUUUUUGGCUUUCUCCAGUGAGGUGCUCAUCCGGAAUAACCAGGGCACAAUCGCAGUAGUUCUCCUUUGUCCGCCUUAGCCGAUAAGAACGGAAUGUAACGCGGCAAAGCCAGGAGCCGGGCAAACCCAACAUUUGACCAAAGACAUGCUUCGGAGCUGAUGCAUAUAAGGCCAAACUCGCGAUGCCGAACACUCCCGAAGGUAUUCGGACUUUAGAACAUAUACUGGGCCUGAAGAACACCCUUUAUUAUGAACCCUAUAUUUCCAGGUACGUGCAUUAGUCUGUUGUGGUGAAAUGCCAAUAACGGCAGUAUCCCCUGGGGGUGUAGUACCCAUGGGAUGUGUAAGCAACAAGAGACAAUAAAGAAGGUUUAGACAGGGGCUUAAUCUAAAGAGAAACCUUUGAGCGGGGCCCUUCUGCACGUCUGCGCCUUUGUCUCCGUUGUGCCAUGUCCUGGGAGGGUAUCGCAUGAAUGAUGUCUGUAAAAAGGAAAACUCAUGUAGAAGAGUAUGACGUAAGCGUGCGCAGAGUUGACUAUUAUCAAUGGAUAGAGAAGUGUAAGACAUUGGCCUGUUAAUAAGAUCAAGCCGAAAGGUGGGCUUUAUUGAAUAUUUGAAGCCCAUGGUGUCCUCUAUGGGAUUACAUUUAUAGCGCCCAACUCAGGUUUAUCUGGGCUGCCGGACUCGUCUAACCAUGUCCGUGGUCUUAACGACCGAUCAUGCAUUCUGAUAUUAGAGGGCGCUUAGUGUCCGGCUGCUGGAGCCGUCAUGUACUCUUCCGCGCGUAAGGGACGCUCUGUAUUUUCCGUUAACGGUGAUGACGCCACGUGGACCGGGCAUCUUGAGUGUAAGGUAGGCAUAGUGCGGUACUGCGUUGAAGCGGGCGAAGGCCGUUCUCCUGAGAAUUGCAUGAUAACCACUUUGGAGGGGGGCGAUGGUGAAGAGUAGUUCUUCGUUUCUGAAGUUUUCUAGGGAACCGAAAGUCACCUCUAGUAUGAGGGAGCCCCUGCAGCGGGCUUCAAUGCUUGGUAUCACCCCUUCAAAGGUGGUGUUACUUUGGUUGAUUCUGGAUGGGUCUAUCCCCAUCCUGCGGACAGUGUCUUGGUGUAUUAGAUUAAGACUACUCCUGCCGUCCAUGAGGACGCGAGUGAGAUGGUAUCCGUCGAUUAUUGGGUCGAGCACAAAGGCAGCUGAUCCUCCGUGCCGCAUUCUAGUCGGGUAGUCCCUGUGAUCGAAGGUGAUCGGGCGGGCCGAGCAGUGGUUAAGUUUGGGGGCGACGGGCUCUAUAGUGUAUGCGUCUCUGAGCGCGCGUUUGCGCCUUCUCUUGGGUGAGUGAGACGCAUGGAUCAUGUUUACUGUUUUUACCUCUGGUGGGAAUUUUUUCUUUCCCCCACUGUUCGGCUGGCGAGGCUCAUCCUCGUCUUCACUUGGUGAUUCCCUUCCCUUGUGUUUGGCAUUUAAUUUGCCAGCCUGCUUAAAGACCCAGCAUUCUCUGUGAGUGCGGUUCGCAGGUUUUUCGGGGGUGCCAUGAAUUUGGCAUAGUCUGUCCAGGACUUUGUUCAGGCUGGACGGUCCCUCUUUGCUGCCUUUAAAUGGCUUCUUUUGUUGACCGGGACGAGAGCCCCUGAAUCCGGCGUUGACCGUUGUGUUGUCCGGACUUUCUUCCUUGUUUUGUUGUUUGUUUUUAUUGCGCCGUGGCUUCCCGUUGCCAUCCUUGAUUUUGGAUGUACUUGGGUCGCUGGUGCCUCUAAGGGCCAACCAGCUGUCUUCACCCGCGCAAAAGCGGGUCAUAAGGCUUGUUAAGGCUGCCAUUGUCCUCGGCUUUUCUUGGCCGAGGUGUCUGGCGAGCCACUCAUCCCGGAUACUGUGCUUGAAGGUCGCUAGGGCUUCGGCAUCCGGAGAAUCGACAAUUUGAUUCUUCUUAGUGAGGAAUCGGUUCCAAAGCUUGUGGGUGAUCUCUCCGGGCUAUUGAAUUAUGUGACUUAAAUCGUCCGCGUCCGGAGGUCAGACAUAGGUCCCUUGAAAAUUGGCCCUGAAAGCAUCCUCGAGUUCCUCCCAACUUCCGAUUGAAUUUUUGGGGAGGCUUUUCAACCAGUGCCGAGCCGGUCCCUUCAACUUGAGGGAAGGUAUUUGAUGGCGUGGAGGUCGUCCCGACGAGCCAUAUGGAUAUGUAGGAUAAAAUCCUCAAUCCAGACCCCGGGGUCUGUCAUUCCGUCAUAUGCCUCUAUGUUCACAGGUUUAAAACCCUGUGGGAAUUCGUGGUCCAGUACCUCUUCGGUGAAGCAUAGAGGGUGAGCAUCCCCUCUGUAUCUGGACGAGUUGUGGCAUGCUGACGGCUGUUGUUGUGUCCGGUGCUGAUUCCGAACUAGUACUCGAUCAGUCUGAUCGUUUUGGUGAUCAUAAUCCUGCACCGGAGCGUGUCCUCUAGAUCCAUAGAUGGACCUGGUCGCGCCGGCCCUUUUAUCCAGGAGCUCAUGUAAAUCGUGUGCAGCGUCAGUAGCUGCUCUAUUGCGGUUAUGGAGUGGUUUGUCCAGCCUACUGGCCGUAUUGUUCUCCGGUGGAACGGCCUCAUCGUCGAAUUAUGGCAGCAGCUUGUGCUUUGGAUAGCUCUUUGUGUGGCGAUCGUCGCCGUAUUUUUCUUUAGUGUCUAGCACUUUAUUCCAUCUGCGAUUGAGCAUUUCCUGUGCGGCCUUAGGCCUUUGCUACUGCUUCUUUAGACUUCUCGCAGUGGCCAUAAGCCUUCUGUGGAGGUUAUCUCAUUCCAAACGUGUUUCCGAGAUGAUGAAUGCAUCGUCGUCCGGACUAUGCUCCUGUCCUGGGGCAGUUUGAUGAGUUCGGCCCUCGGGAUCACUGUGAUCGGGGGUCUGCUCCGGGCUGUGUUUGGCGUGACCUGGCUCAUCCUGCUCCAUCACUGGGUCCAUAUGGUCAUUGUUGCCUUCAGAGUUGACUAGGGUGUCAAUCUUUCUAGUGCUGUUAUCGCUAUUUUUACUGUGGCUGGACUUAGAGCGGCAUCUGCGCCGUUGUUUUGGCUAUUGUCCAGGGGUUUUAUCCUCCAUUUUGUCGCCAUCAUCCUCCUUAGGCGUGUCCACCAUGUAUAUAUCAUAUGAUGAGGUGGCAGUCCAGCGCCCUGUGGGUGGUGGUUCCGAAUCGUCUCCUGCGCCGACGUCCAUGCCGUCGGUGUCAUCGGAGUCGAAGUCAAGCAUGUCUGUUACGUCGUCGACAGUGGCUAUGAAGUGGGUGGUGGGUAGGCAACAAAUUUAUUUGUUGCCUUCUUCCCCCUUGAGUUAGACAUAGUUCAGCCAAGAGUCUCCUGGCAAAGAGAGAGACUUUAAUGAGUUCAGCAUGUCGACCAAGGGCGAGUGCUGGAAGAUAUCUGCACCGGCGAAUUCCAUUACCGGAGCCCAACCAGAAUCGGCGGGCUCGGCGGUGCGUGGUCUGGGACCUACAACCGGACACAAGUCCAGGGGUCCGGAGACACAGGCUUCCUUGGGGGUGAAGUCUGUGUUCGGCUCUACCGCCGAUGAGUGUGCGGCCUCCAGGGCGGGGUCCAUCCACCCGUCCUCGGACGAGGCCAUCUGCCCCGGAUUUAGGUCCGGAGCUCCUGCAGGUGCGAUAUCCCGAGUAUUGUCCGACAGCAGGUCGAAGCCGUGCUCAUCGUGACUGUUCGGCACUGCUGGCGUAGGCCCGAAUCCGUCGAAGAUCAAGUCUCUCCGGAUAUCGGUCGUGUAGUUCAAGUUUCCAAACCUGCCCUGUCGGCCAGGGGCGUAGCUGUCGAUCUGCUCCAGAUGGCCAAGCGAAUUGGCUCGUAGUGCGAAGCCGCCGAACACGAAGAUCUGUCCGGGGAGAAAAGUCUCACCCUAGACCGCGUUGUUGUUGAUGAUUGAAGGAGCCAUCGAGCCUUGAAGCAACGACAUAGAGGAACUCUCAAUGAAAGCACCAAUGUCAGUGUCAAAACCGGCGGAUCUCGGGUAGGGGGUCCCGAUCUGUGCGUCUAAGGCUAAUGGUAACAGGAGGCAAGGGACACGAUGUUUUACCCAGGUUCGGGCCCUCUCGAUGGAGGUAAAACCCUACUUCCUGUUUGAUUGAUCUUGAUGAUAUGAGUAUUACAAGAGUUGAUCUACCACGAGAUCGUAGAGACUAAACCAUAGGAGCUAGCCUAUGAUGAUUAUGAUUGUCCUUUCAUGGACUGAACCCUCCGGUUUAUAUAGACACCGGAGGGGGCUAGGGUUUACACAAGGUCGGUUACAAAGAAGGAGAUCUAAUAUCCGGAUCGCCAUGCUUGUCUUCCACGCAAAGGAGAGUCCCAUCCGGACACGGGACGAAGUCUUGAGUCUUGUAUCUUCAUGGUCCAACAGUCCGGCCAAAGUAUAUAGUCCGGCUGUCCGCAUACCCCCUAAUUCAGGACUCCCUCAACCGGAUUUACACUACUGUCGAUAGGGGUAGACUAGUAACUUCAAUCAGACGUGACACUACGGCCUCUGAGCCCAGUUAGACACGGUGGGCGCCAAACGUGGGCGGCAAAACACAUUUGAUUCAAGCUUGUCCGAAAGACAUGUGUCUCUCCCUUCAUUUCCCCAUUCAUACACGGUGGGCGGCAAAACAAACUCUCCUCAUCCGAAAUCGAUGUAGGCUAAUAUUUUAAAUAGGGGCAGAUGUGUAACUUCCCUCAGACGUGACACAACCACCCUACCUGUCAGCCCCAUUCAUACAGCGUGGGCGCCAACUAUGGGCGGCAAAACACCCUCUCCUCGCCCGAAAUAGUUACCGACAAAUAUUUGGGAGAUGCGAGAUUACCCUCCUAUCCCCAACCGACGUGAUGUCCAAAAUUUUAAACGGGGGAUAAGUUCGUAACUUUCCCACAUUUCAGAGAAGCGCGUCCCAAAGUUUGAGAUCCUCCCUCCCCUCCAUUUCGCCAUUCAUACACCAUCGGCACAACGACAACCUCCCCACUGCGGCCAGCCUCCUCCGUUCGCCACACCAUCCUCCACCUUGCCGGAGCCGCUACCCCUACCCCGUCGUCCACUUCAAGAGAUGGACGUCUCUCAUCCACGGCGAUGGACCAAGAUCCUUUCAUCGCAUCCUCUGACUUCAUAGGCGCCGUCGUCCACCUUGCCAUUGCCGCUCCUACGACCGCCUCCUCCACGAAAACAGGAUUUAUCCCCUGACCUGGCCAUCGGCCGUCUAAAGUCUUCUUCCCUGCCGCCGACAGUCAUCACACCCACAACACCCUCAACGUAUCAGCAGAGGCCUACAUGGCGUCGCAAGAGAGGUGGCACUCUUCCAUAUGUGCUUAAGUUAUUGAUCUCACCCGAAAAAUAGAUCAUAAUUUGUUUACUGUACUUUUCUUAUCCGUACCAAAUCGUAGUGGCUAGUUGAAAGCAAACAUUGGUUGCGAAGUAGCUUUGUCCGGUUUGCACCUUCAGAUCCGCCAUGGCACUGACACUAUACUCGUAAAGCUUAUGGUUUCCCCCCUUUAUAUUCACUACCAUCAUCUUUGGUGCUUCAUGUCGUGCUAGCACUACUCCUUAAGACCUCAACCAAAGCUUAUGUGUUGAAAUACGAAUAUGAUAUGAUGCUCAUAUCACUAAAACAGAGAAUGUUUAAUUGGUCACCUAAUGUUCCUAUAUUCGUUUUGAAAAGCAUGUGCGCCACCCACUGGUCUAGGUAGUUCCACUUUCCUCAUUUUAAUCUUGAUGCUUAGGGUUUCCCCCUUUUAUUUACUCUACUAUUAUCUGCGUAGGUGCUUUCUGUCGUACUAGCAUUACUCCACCCUUAAAGCCAAACAUCACAACACUCAAAAUUCCGAAGCUUAGUUGUUCAAUUAUGAUUGUGAUAUGAUACUGAUAUUAGUUAACAGACACAUUUAAUUGUUUAGCUAAAGGUCCCACUUGAGUUUCCAAAUGCAUGUCGCAACAUAUAGAGAGGCAACAGAAUUGCAUUUCUUUGUCACUUGUUGACUGUACUUUCUUGUCCAUACAAAUCUUAGUUGUUAUUUCAAACCAAACAUCGGUUGCUAACUACCCUUUGCAUGGUUUGUAACUUCAUAUCUGCCAUCCCACUGCCACGGUCAACACUAUUCUCAUCAUGCUUACAGUUUCCCCAUUUUAUGAUGACCACGAUCAACCUACGUGGUUCGUGUCGUAAUAGCACUGCUCCACCCAUCGAGCUAACAAGCUUAGUUGUACAAAUUCAAAUAUGAUAUUAUGCUGAUAUUAGUAAAACUGAGAGAUGUUUAAUUGGUUAGCUAAAUGUUCCUACUUUAGUUUCAAAAUGCAUGUGAGCCACAUAUGGAGAGACCGGAAGAAAUAGUAUUUCUCGAUGCGCUCUGGUUCAUCAUGGGUGGCCAACUGACAUUGUAUUGAAAGACUUGUAAUAUCUUCAGUCCGCUUCCUCUUCUUCUCUUCUUUAAGAUGAUCCUCUUCUCUUGCGGUCGAUUGGUCAGGUAGAGUUGUUUUCCCUUAGUAUAUUUUGAAUCUGUCAGGUCAGGUCGACUUGUUCUUCUUUACUAUAUGUUGAAGCUGUCAUCUGCGAAGUGUCAUCACUUCUGGAGCUCUCAUAUUUUGAGUAGUAGGCCACAUUAUAUUAACGCACACACCAAAUUACGGCAUGCACGGCAUCUCUUAAAAGAAUUGCAGAGAUAGCCCAAAGGGGUUUACAGGGAGGUAGUAUUGGAUUAGAUCUCACUUGUUUUUAUGUUUUCAUGCAUGUCAGAUAUUGAACAUUAUCGAAAUGAAUAUGAGAAUGGGCGCACGAGAGGAAUAUUGCGGAAAUAUCCACUGGCUAACAAACUUGGCAUGGUGGAGGAUGGCCUAUCUUAUUCACCCAUCAAGGUGCUUGCUCUAACUUGGCAAGGUUGUAUUGGUCGCACAUAUUUGCAUCUGACCUCUUGCAUUACUUCUACUUUGUUACACCAUCUACUUAGUUUAAGCAUCAUAUAUGAGUAUAUGCCAUACCUAUCCAUUUUCUGUACCUAUUCCAUGUGUCGUCAUACUAUGUUUUUCCAGUCAAAUGUUGUUCUUUCGUAAUAGAUGUCCAAAAGGAAGAGGGUGAGUGCAGAUCCUCAAGGAGUACAAACUAGGUAUUUGGAAAAGGUAGUAAUACCUGUUAAAUCAGAUAGACCAGCAGCCACAGAAAACACAGACCCAACUGUACCACACUUUACCCCUACCCCAGUGGCCAAACCCCUAUUAGAACUGCUGAGAGACCAGCGCCAGGUACUAUCUAUGAUAUCAAUUCAAAAUUUGAACUCGUAAAUUUCUGCAUGUGCCUUACCUUCUCUCUUGUAUGAAAACUAAUUUCAGAUGAAUCUCCUUGCUCAAAGGAUCAUACGAUCUCACAACAAUACUGGGCUCUGCAUUGCUCUUGUCAGUACCUCUCGCCUUUUUGCCUUGUAACGCUGAUGUAUCAUCAGUCUGCACCUGAGCUUCAUUAUCCUCUAUUUCUUCUAAUAUUAUUUGAUCUAUAUUUACUCUUUGCAAAAUGUAGAAUAAUGGCAACGCUUAUAAAGAAUUUUCUUUCGGGAAUUUAUCGAAUUAUGCUUCCAUCAACAUGGAGAAGGGCUUUGUUCAGCCCGUGUUAACAUGUAAUGUAAGUUCAUCCUUCUCAAGCCUUCAAACUUUGUUCUAGUAUAGAUUUGGAUAGGCAUCAUUUCCUCCACUGCUGUUUACUUUGCUAUUUACAUCUGAUUGGAUGUUUGCAACAACUACCAGUUUUAAAUUGUAGAUGUAAAAACAUGUUUCUUAUGUAGAACAGAUCCAUUUAUUUGCUUAUAUAAUUGUGAAACCUGUUACGUGUCUCCUUGUUUCUCUUUCAGAGUCGUAUCUUUUAUGCCAGGCAGAACUUUAGGGAAGAUAGUGAGCCAAACCAUCUUGAGGAUAGCGAGAUGACCCCAAGGUCCUGUCUUGAUGAAGACAGUGAGUUGAAGCUACUCACCAGCAGGUGUGAGACAACCUCUGUGCAGUCGCUGCCUCAAUCAGUUCGACUUCUUUAGUCUCAACUUAAAGCGGAAAGGCUUGCUUCAGCUCAGUUCCGACUUGAAGUCAAAGAUGUAAUGAAGAUGUCGGAGGACUACCUUGUGCACUAUCGUGCCAUAUAGCUAGGGAUGAAGCAUCUAUCGUUGACACAACUGAGGUCCAAUUAGCUUCUUCGGCUGUUUGUGGGGCUCAACCUAGCCAGGCCUAGUGCCUUCUGAAGUGCUCUCAGUUUUGUAUAUUCUUUUGUCGGCGCGUUUAUUUGCACUGGUGGCGAACUUGGACGCCCAGUGGAGGUAAUAGGUGUAAUAGCCGUGAUAGCCUAGCAUAAGUUGCUUGCUUAUUUAUUUCCUUGUUGUCUUUGCUUAUUUGUUUGCUUGUAGUCAGUGUAGUUCUUUUUCUGCGGUUUGCUAGUGGCCGCAAUAACCUAUUUUUUAAAUCUAGGCCACAAUAACCAUGGCUACAUAUUUACUGUAGUGAUGGUGGGCCUCCUACGGGCCGUAGAAACAAUGGGCCUUCUACGGGCCGUAGAAACAAUGGGCCUUCUACGGGCCGUAGAAACAAUGGGCCUUCUACGGGUCGUAUCAUCAAUGGGUCUUAUACGGGACGUAUGAUCGAUUGGCCAAACAUGGGCCAAUAACAAUCGGCAUUAUGGCCGUAAAUGGGCUAGAGUUGGAAUCGUCCGUUCAUGGGCCGACCAUAAUGGGCCGUCGUUAAUUGGCCAUAUUUGGUGACGCUAUGAAAACGACCCAACGUAUUAACAUGCCACAAAUGGGCCAACUGUAACCACGGGCUGAAUUUGGCCCACAAGCAGAAAAUGACAGUCAUGGGCCGUAAGUAACUGAAUGCUGGAAAUGAGCCCAAGAAAAUAUGGGACCUGAGAAGGCCGAAAGAUAACAUGGGGUGCAAAUGGCCCAAUGGAAUAAUGGGUCGUUAAUCGGCAUAAAGUGAUGCAUUGUUCAUUAUAGGCCAGUUUCACCACGGCAUGUUAAUGGGCCAAGAGUUACAAAGGGCCUCAUAUGGGCUGAAAGACGUCAUGGGCCAUACAUGGGCCGGAACUUAAAAUGGGCUUGAAUCAUAUUGGACGGCCCAUAUGAAGCUACCGGGCCUAAUUCGGAUAGGUCGUAACGGGUCCUGGGUUAGCGGGCUAUAAAGGGGCUAUAUGCGAACAAGCCGUUAACAGGCUUUCUGUGGGUCGGUCCGCCACCUUUUGACCAAGUCAAACAGGCCGGCCUUUUCACAGGAAUAGGCCUCUGUUGGACCGUGCCACAUGUGGACGUAUCAUAGGCGCCUUCGGUCCAAUGAGUGGAUGACAUCUGUCCCAACAGUGAGCUGACAUGUGUUUCCUCCAGCCAAUGAUGAUUUUACACGUGGAAAAUCCCCAUUGGCCUGGGCUAUUAACUGGUUAUCGGAUCCAAAACCGGACCUGAUAGCUUAAUGGCGUUCCGUUACGGUGGAUGCCACAUGUUGGUCACCCUUGACGAAAUCACUUCUAUGACGCGCGAUUGAUUGUCAUGGAAGUGGACACUUCCGUGAUGAUAAUUUUGGUAAUGCCAUGGAACACUUCUACGACAGCACAUGUAUGACUAUCUUGAUUCUGUCAUAAAAUCUUCAUGGAUGUACAUGCAUGACAGAAAACGUGACCUACUAUGACAAACACGUAUCAUCACUGAAGUGUAUUUUUUUUGUAGUGCUGGCCCCUACUGCUGGCACAAGCUAUUCAAACUCACUAUUUGAAUCAGUUUGUUUUUUGAGUCUCAACUACAAGCUGAAAGACAUCGAUCAGCUGUGCUGCGACAAGAAGCCGAAGGACUGCAGAAGUCCCUGGAGCAUUCAGAUGCAUACUUUCUGGUGCAACAGCAAGCAUUGGAGGAUUUUAGCGCCAAACAGGACAAAGCUAAUAAGCUUGCUAAGCUUAUUGCUAGCAUGGUGGAUACCGAGGAUAACGUUUCUUGAGCUCUACUGAAGUUGUUUCAGUUAUGGACUUGUUUUGCUGCCGUGUUUAUUUGCACUACUGGGAAAUUUAGACAUCCAAUGUAUGUAAUAUGCUGCUUAUUUGCACCGGUGGCGAACUUUGAUGCGCAUUGGAUGUAAUAUGUGUAAUAGCCAUAAUAGCCUAGCAUUAGUUGCUUGCUUAUUUAUUUCCUUAUUGUCUUGUUUAGUUGUUUUCUUG